UCGCAAUAUAUUGUCGCUGUUAUUAUACACAGCGAGAAGAUGGAUUUACAGAUGGAGAGGCCGAAGCGUAUAAUUUCUAAACCAUUGCGCUAUCAGAGAACUUCUUCGGACGAAAGUCCGAAACGAAGAAAUACCGCAUCAGCAACUACCGGAGAUAUCAAUAAGGACAUCGACGAUUUGAGGAGGAUUGGGCAAAACAUGGAUAAUGAAAUAAAUUAUUUUUUUUCUCCAUAACAUACACUUAUACAAAAUCAAACAUCGUACACACGCGCAUACAUUCCAAAACAAUCAAAUGAACCACAUACAAACGUUGGGUCACAUACAGUCAUACAACCACAAAAAAUAUUUAAAUAUACAGCGGAAUAAAUAGUCAAGCACAUACAAAUAUUCAAUCGCAUACAAAUAUUGAAGCAUAUGGCAUAAACAAUCAAGCACACACAGAUAUUCAAUCACACACAAACAUUGAAGCACACGAUAUAAAUAAUCAAACAUACAUAGACCUUCAACCAUACACAAGCAUGCAAGCAUACAGUACAAAUAGUCAAACACACACAGAUCUUCAACCGCAUACAAGCAUUUAAUCAUGCAGCGCAAACAGUCCAGCACAGACAGACCUUCAACCGCAUACAAACAUUCAAUCAUACAGUAUAAACAAUCGAGCACACACAAAUCUUCAACCGCACACAAUUAAAACAUUUCAAAACACUUGUGCCACUAAUGUAUCGCAGGCAUCACAUACAUUACACACAUCUUCUUCCCCACACAAUAAUACAUCAGACAUAGAAACUGGAAAAACAAUUUACACUAAUGAUACAUUAUUCGAGUUUUAGGACAAUACGGAAACAUUAUCUCCUCAGGGCAGCACUAUACAUCAACGCAGACAAGUUCAUCAAGGAUCGGCUCAUGGUCAGCGUACUUUAACACAUGCAGAAAUAAUAGAUGGAAGAGCGCACAGCUGUAUACGUAAG